GUCGUCGUGGCCGAGUGGUUAAGGCGAUAGACUAGAAAUCUGUUGGGCUCUGCCCGCACAGGUUCGAAUCCUGUCGGCGACG
rfam:Ciona savignyi cont_62629, whole genome shotgun sequence.